CAAUGGGUGUCAACCUGUGUUAAGGAUCAAACUAAUAAUGGAUUUAUGUCACUUAGUAUUAGUCCAUUUGCAACCUUGGGCUCGGAAUGAUAUACUAAGGUGUAUUUGAGUUUUAGGCCAUUGUCGGCGCACCAAUCCUUUACUUCUCGGGCUAUGAAAUUACUUCCAUUAUCCGUGACGCUAUGGGGGACUCCUAACGGUGCACCACCCCGGAGCGGAAAUCAAUCAGCGGUCUAGCUUUUGCCAAGGUCAAUGGUAUAACGUCUAUCCACUUUGUAAAUUUCUCUACCAUGAUGAGUCAAUACCUUUUUAUUGGUCCCCCCUUUAAGUGGUCCGACCAUGACUAGCCCCCAUACUACAAAGGGCUAAGUGAUCGGAAUAGUCCGAAGAGUUGUCUGGGGCAUAUGACUCUGAUUAGCCAAAACCUGGUAUCCGAUGCACUUGUCGACAAGUGUUUUGGUAUCUGCUCGGGUUAUUGGCCAAUAAAAUCCUGCCCAAAAUGCCUUGCUUACUAAGUCUCAAGCUGCGGCAUGAGGACCACUCAUGCACGAGUGUAAGAGAAACUCUCUUCCCUCCUCCUUCGGUAUACAUUAUUGAAGGGCACAUGUAACACUUUUUUAAAGGGUUCUCCCUCGUGGACCUCGUAGACUUGAUUCGUUGAAUGAUACGCCGUGUGUCAUACUGGUCCUCGAGGAGCAUUUUACGGAGGAGGUAUGCGAAAAAGGGUUCGGUCCAUGGUGCAAUUACUAUUGUUAUAUCAUGGGUUGAAGAGGUUUCUUGACUUAUGAGCCCCCAAUUAUGCCAUCCUCGUAGGCGCCUGAAGAUGUGCUCUUUUCUAUUUUAUCACAUGGAGAUGUCAUGUUUUCCUCUCGCCACACCACGUAUGGCUUAAACAAGCGUUCCAAGAAGUUGUUUUCCGAGGCGGGGUCUAGUUUCGCAACAUCCACGUGAGCAUAUGUGAAGCUUGAUUGUUGUCCCUCGGGAUAUGGUGAAACUACAACCCCUCGAACCAAGCUGAGAUCAUUAAGAUUGUGUCUCCAUAUGCACUCAUCUUGGGUCCUUUGCGUCAAACUUUCCAUUGACCUGUUAGAUAGCUAGGUUAGAGUCCCGAUACUUGUAAACUGUGUUGGGAUUUUCCACGAGGAGGAGGGCAUGAUGCAGCAUAGUAGAGGUAUUUCCCUUAGUGGGAACCAAGGUUAUCAAACUAGUAGGAGCACCAUGCAAUUUGUCGUCUUCAGCGUCUACACACAAAAGAGCACACACUUGCACGUUGUCAAUCCCUUUAAACUCGUUACUUGCAAGCGAUAAGUAGUCAUAGAUAGAUAGUUUGAUAAAUAUAAAUUGAAAAUAAAAAGAAAGUAGGUAAUGGCAUCAAGGUGUUUAGGCUUUUUGUUAAAAUAUGUCUGAGGAGAGCCUGAUGCAUAGAUUUUCCUAGAGGCUUCUCCCUCGAAGAAGGAAUACGAUGGGUACACAAAUUAUUGUUGCGCAAUUGAUAGAAAAGCACAUAGUAAUGCAAUAUUUAUUCAAGACAAUGAUCAUGUAUAUAUGCAACUCGUCCAUAAACAAGUAGACCGACUCGUACCUACAUCAACUACAAUUACUCCGCCCGUCAACCGCUAUGCAACAUGCAUCUAGAGUAUUAAGUAAAAAUAGAGUAAUGCUUCGAGGAUGACGACAUGAUCUAGACAAAGUAAAUCCAUUUAAUAUGAAUAAAACCCAUUAUUUUACCAUUAAUGGUAGCAAUACAAUACAUGUGAUGUCCCUUUGUGUCACUGGGAUUGAGCAGCGCAAGAUUGACCCACUACAACACACCUCUCCCAGUGAAGAUAAAUUAAUCUAGUUGUCCAAACCAAAUCGACAAAUCACAGAGAAUUACGAAGCUAUAACAAUCAUGCAUAUAAGAAUUCAGAGAAGACUGAUGUAUUAUUCAUGAUUCAUUUAAACAUAAACUCACAAUUCAUCGGAUC
rnacentral:lncRNA from 1 species